rnacentral:ncRNA from 1 species
AUAAGUAAUAAAAACGCUUAUAUAAUUUCAUGAUAUGGUUGAUAGUUUCUACCCGAAACCGUAAAUUUCGGACUAUAAGCAAAUUAAUC